AGGCAGGGAGUCUCUGGAUCGGUUGGUCGCUACGGGGUAUCGACGACGACCCCGUCAGUCGUCAAGAAGCAGCGGCGCCGUGAGCAUGUCGCUCCCGUGUAGUUUGGAUCUGGCAACCGAGGUCCCCGUGGCCCGGAACCCUCGGCCUCCACCAGCACUGUUGUGGACCAGCAGACGACAUACAGGAGCAGCUCGCCAGCAACAUUCCCACUCAAAAUGCAGACGUCAAACAACAGCUCUGACCCACGGAGAGUGGAUAAGAUUGUUAGGUACAAACCAUCAGCACAAGGGACUCCAGGGGCCCCUGGUGAAGAUCCAACUACUGACUACAUGAAUGUACUAGGCAUGAUCUUCAGCAUGUGUGGUCUAAUGAUGAGAACACCAGUGCUCGCAAAUGCAUUGAUUUGGCAAGAAGGAUGCCAUAGCAGAGUGCAAGGCACAUAGGUGGCACCCAUUCCCGCACAGCACAAGUGAUGGACGUUGGAGGCAAGACAUAGAUCACACAUGAGGCGUACAG